UAACAUUUAGUGCGUUACGAUAUUUUUUUCUCAUCAUUUUAGUUGUUGUAGAUUAUAGGUUAAUAAAUAAGACCGCGACUUCGUGCUGCAUUUACGCGGUUUCGACUCUAUCGAUACUUCGAUAGUUCGAUACUUCGAGAAUCGCAAUCUGCGCCUCUCGAGAGUUCACUUGCCCAGCGGCUCCCGGAUCGUGUAGAAUCAUUCGUAUCGCUCCGUGUAUUUCUCGCGAAUGUUGCGGUAUAUUUCGCGAUUGUUACGGUUUAAGAGUGAAUUUCGGUCGCGGAAACGUGCGACGAGUAUUUCGUAAGUGCGUUAAAGUAUCGGGCGUGUGUCGAAUCGCGGCAAAUCGAUUAAAUAGGCACGAGAAUUCACCCAGCGUCUCGCAAACGACGCGAGUCUUCAAAGGAGGUGCAAGAGACCCGCAGAGCGAGAAAUAAGCCGAUUUCGACUCUGGGAAUAGGAUUGAGAAAAAGGGAAAGCGGCGGUCAAAAUGGCGGCCGAAUUGGCGCGAAUUCCUUCAAGUAAGUCGGUAGCAUUACUGAUAAGCUGCGCGCGAGAUUCUCGAGUGCCGAAUCGUUGCUUCGUGUGAUUAUAGUUUUUGCAUCGAUUUUCCUCAUUGUGUAAUGUACGCGAAAUACGCGUGCGAUUAACGCGUCGUGUCGGGAGUGCCGUGUAAAGUUUCGCGCGUCGGGAGUGCCGUGUAAAGUGUCGGGCGAUCGUAAUUAUUCUUGUUUUCGCGAGUGUCGCGAGUGCCACGAAGGACCAAGAGAGGAGGAGGAGGUCCGGGGAGGCAUCGAGCGAGAGCAGAUCAACUAUGAGAUCAAUGUGCUGUGUACACAAUUCCGCUGUUGCAGGUAUCGG